GGAAUGGGCUCCUGGCCACUUUGAGUCUGCCGCUGGCUGACUGGUUGUGGCUCACUCACUCCCUCCGGACACUAUGAAGCUCCCUGGCUGGAUAGCUGCUCAGUGGCUGCUUUGUCUGCUCUUUUUGCGGAUUCCUGAACCAGAGCACUGCUACCUUUACAACAAUCGCUAUGCAGGAGAUAAGGUAAUAAGGCUUGUCCCAGAAACAGAGGGAGAGGCACAUGUCCUGAAGAACAUAUGCCAUCAAUUUAAGGUUAGUUCCUGCACUACAGGUGGACCUAUGGCAGCCCAGCAGCAUCUCCUAUGUCUCGGAAGGAACUGUUACAGAUGUCCAUAUUCCCCAAAAUGGCUCUCAAAUCCUGUUAGCCUUCUUACAGCAAGCCAAC
rnacentral:lncRNA from 1 species